ACGCGAGAGGAAUGAAAGUUUGGGCACUUUCCUAAUUGGCUGGUGUUGUUGCACGGCUAUUCUUAGUUUGUGGAACGAUUUGUCUGCUUGACUCCGAUUACGAAAGGAACUCUAGUCUAUUGAAUAAAUAGGAGCUUUCUAACGUCUCACAAAAUUAUUCCAGGCGUGGCCUAGGCUGGCCAGACAGAAAAAUAACAGGUCUGUGAUGCCCC
rnacentral:rRNA from 1 species